UACGUAGGGUGCGAGCGUUAAUCGGAAUUACUGGGCGUAAAGCGUGCGCAGGCGGCUUUGCAAGACAGAUGUGAAAUCCCCGGGCUCAACCUGGGAACUGCCUUUGUGACUGGAAGGCUAGAGUACGGCAGAGGGGGAUGGAAUUCCGCGUGUAGCAGUGAAAUGCGUAGAUAUGCGGAGGAACACCAAUGGCGAAGGCAAUCCCCUGGGCCUGUACUGACGCUCAUGCACGAAAGCGUGGGGAGCAAACAGG
rnacentral:rRNA from 1 species